GACAGAGGUGCCGAGCGUUAGGCGGAAUCACUGGGCUUAAAGCGUGUGUAGGCGGACCGUUAAGUACCUUGUGAAAUCCCACGGCUCAACCGUGGAACGGCUGGGUAUACUGGCGGUCUUGAGCGGCCUAGGGGCAGAUGGAACAGACGGUGGAGCGGUGAAAUGCGUAGAUAUCGUCUGGAACGCCAAAGGUGAAGACAGUCUGCUGGGGGCCUGCUGACGUGAGACACGAAAGCCAGGGGAGCGAACGGGG
rnacentral:rRNA from 1 species